rnacentral:rRNA from 1 species
GUAGGUGGCAAGCGUUGUCCGGAAUUAUUGGGCGUAAAGCGCGCGCAGGUGGUUCUUUAAGUCUGAUGUGAAAGCCCCCGGCUCAACCGGGGAGGGUCAUUGGAAACUGGGGAACUUGAGUGCAGGAGAGGAAAGUGGAAUUCCACGUGUAGCGGUGAAAUGCGUAGAUAUGUGGAGGAACACCAGCGGCGAAGGCGACUUUCUGGCCUGUAACUGACACUGAGGCGCGAAAGCGUGGGGAGCAAACAGGGAUUAGAUACCCUGGUAGUCCACGCCGUAAACGAUGAGUGCUAAGUGUUGGGGGGGUUUCCCGCCCCUCAGUGCCCGCAGCUAACGCAUUAAGCACUCCGCCUGGGGAGUACGGUCGCAAGACUG